rnacentral:rRNA from 1 species
UGCGGAAUUUUAGAUAAUGGAGGGAACUCUGAUCUAGCGACGCCGCGUGCAGGAAGAAGGUCUUCGGAUUGUAAACUGCUGUGGUAAGGGAAAAAUGCUAUGUAGAGUGGAAAGCUACAUAGAGGGAUGGUACCUUACUAGAAAGCCCCGGCUAACUACGUGCCAGCAGCCGCGGUAAUACGUAGGGGGCGAGCGUUACCCGGAAUCACUGGGCGUAAAGGGAGCGUAGGUGGCCUAACAUGUCAACUGUGAAAACCCGGAGCUCAACUCCGGACUUGCAGUUGAAACUGGUAGGCUUGAGGACGGUAGAGGAAGACGGAACUGCCAGUGUAGGGGUAAAAUCCUUAGAUAUUGGCAGGAACGCCGGUGACGAAGGUGGUUUUCUGGGCCGGUUCUGACACUGAUGCUCGAAAGCCAGGGGAGCGAACGG